UGGUUCUCGCAUCGAUGAAGAACGCAGCGAAACGCGAUAGGUAAUGUGAAUUGCAGAAUUCCGUGAAUCAUCGAAUCUUUGAACGCACAUUGCGCCUGCUGGUAUUCCGGUAGGCAUGCCUGUUUGAGCGUCAGCAAAACCUCUCAGUAGUACUUUAUUGUAAUGCUGGUUAUGGGUGUGGAGGAUAGCCAAAUUGGCUGCUCUCACCUUAAACUUGCUGCACGACCGCAAGCUAAUGCUAGGUUAAUGGAGUGGUAAUUUAUAAUUCCAGCAACUGUUCAUAGCUUCUGUGGCGUUAAACCCGAUGUUGCUUUACUGCAACUGAAGUUUGACCUCAAAUCAGACAAGGAUACCCGCUGA
rnacentral:misc_RNA from 1 species